rnacentral:rRNA from 1 species
GACGUAGGGGGCCAGCGUUGUUCGGAAUUACUGGGUGUAAAGGGUUCGUAGGCGGUGCGGCAAGUCGGGAGUGAAAUCUCUGGGCUUAACCCAGAGGCUGCUUCCGAAACUGCUGUGCUUGAGUGUGGGAGAGGCGCGUGGAAUUGCAGGUGUAGCGGUGAAAUGCGUAGAUAUCUGUAGGAACACCCGUGGCGAAAGCGGCGCGCUGGACCACUACUGACGCUGAGGCGCGAAAGCCAGGGGAGCGAACGGG